AGUUUUUAUGGUCCUCUCUCAGGAAUUUGGGCUCUGAAAACUGGCUCAGAAACUGGGCAAGAGAUCAUGACUUACUAUUGGAGGAGUUGCUCUCAUUGUGGUUACCCACUCCUGUAUUCCUCUAAUUUUAUAGAUUGAGCAGUUUCCUCAUCAAUUACCCAGCUGUCUUGUCCCUAGUGAUAUGGAUUCUGUUACCAUCUCUGUAGCUCUCUACUAGUGAGGACUCCCUGGCUGCUACUCCAAACUUGUCAUUCAUUAUGACAAUUGUACAUACCUUGCUGCUGGUGAUCAAAUGCUACUCUCUGGCUUCUAUUAUAUCUGUAUCUUACCAUCCCUAUUACUAUCACGGAAACUGUGUCUAUAGUAGAAUCUCCUAUGAUGAGCCCUGGCUUAAAGUAGAUAGCCACUGAACACUUCAAUGAUACUCUUGUCCCUUCCACUAGUUAACACCUUAUUUUGGAAAACAGAGUUUCAUUUAGGCCCUCCCAUGGAACACAUUCAGAUGGUGGGCUUUGGCCUUGCUUAUAUCUACCAUAGGAUUCCCACAUUUCUGGCUCUUACCAUCAUCCAUGGCACUUUACUUCACUUGGUAUGGGCCAUUGCUUUCUUUAAACUGCAAAGCGCGGGAUGCCUGGGUGGCUCAGUGGUUGAGCAUCUGCCUUCAACUCAGGGCAUGAUCCCAGAGUUCCAGGAUCGGUCCCACAUCAGGCUCCCUGUGAGGAGCCUGAUUCUCCCUCUGCCUGUGUUUCUGCCUUUUCUCUCAUGAAUAAAUAAAUAAAAUCUUUUUUAAAAGUAAAUAAACUGCAAAGCACCAUCACAGAAGCAUAUUAGCUUCUUUUCUUGGAGUCUUUGACAGAGGGUUACAUCCUUAUCACAGAAUAGUGUUCUCUUAUCAAUAAAUUCUCCUUUCCAACUUUAUGUUCUGCCCCCUUAAUUUAACAUCUUUGGGAUCCAGUUUCUAAACAUACUCUCCUGGGUCUCAUAAGUACAUAUUGACUGGAUCCUUUAGCACAUCAAGGCCACCACUUUCCCAGCUGGAAUGUGCUGUGCUUUAAUCCUCAUUAUGGUUUUGGUAACCAGGAGGGGAGGUGAAUAUAGCUUCUGAGGGAAGGGCCACAUGCUAUCUUACUGGUCAGAAGCCUCUGCAUUUCUUCAGAUAAGGGAGGAACACUAGCUUUUGACAGGGAAAAGUGGGCCACUUCUGCAGGCUCAAAGGGUCAGGGAAAUUGGGGGGCAUUCAGUAUUUUGAAGGAUAUUGGCUCAGGGUCCUACUCCUUCCCAAUCAGGACCCCAAACUUGAUAGAGACAACUCAGACUCAAAAUUCAACCAUCUCUUGAGAUAAUCUACUCCUAUUAAGUUUUGAGUCAGAUCCUCAGCUUUUUCACUUUGCAGCUGCAAGAGAUGGGAGUCUCUUUAUAUGCUGCCAAGGGGGCCCUCUGGCUUUUAUACUUCACCUUAAUUUGGUGAUUAAUCACCCUCAGCCUUUCAUGUCUUCUCCAAUGCCUGGGUAACUUGCAGCAAAAAUUAUCCAAUUCUAUAGUCCUUUAAUUACUAUUUACUCCGAAGCUCUCAAGCACCUAAGAUAUUACACUUUGCAAUGCCUUCUCUUCCGUGAAUAUCCCAUCACAAUUCAACAUCAAGAAAAGUUUUAACAAAUGCACCAUGGCUACAUCCCAGAGCUAUCGAUACCAUAUCUACUACCAGUGAUGGAGUCCUAAUUACCAGCCAGCCAGCAGAUAACUCAAUUCCAAAAUCCCGUUUUAGAGCCUGCCUCCUAGGAUCAUCCCCAGUAUCAACUUCCAUUCAUUGAAUUUCCUGUGAAAAGAAACUCUGAGCCUGAGAUUUGCAUACAGGUGGUUUAUUGGGGAAUGCUCUCAGAUAUGAUGUUUGUAAGGGAAAGGUAAAAAAAAAAAAAAAAAAAAAAAGACUUGUUGAGAGAUGCUGAACUGUGAUACAAUCACAGCAGAGGCCUGAGGCUCAGCCUCAGUCAUUGGGUACCCUGAAGCUGGGAUGACCCACCAGAAAUCUUGCCAGGUUUAGUCCCUGGAUCAGGCUGGACCCGAGGCAGGACUGAAACUUUGGAGAAGAUAGCCUCUCUUGGCCAAGGGCAAGUUUUAGGUAAGUGCUUGACUGUAAACAACGGCAAGGAGCACUCUGGCCCCUGGGAAAUGAGUGCCUCCAUCUCGAAGAUCUCGUAGGUCCAGCUACAUCCACCACACUCUACAAGGGUAGAUGGGUAUUAGGUAAUCAACUCUUGGUCAGCCAUUCUGACGGACAGGAUGUAAGCUCAGAUAAACGCAGAACAACAAAGGAUUCUAAACUCUACUGGCCUCCAACAUCAGAAAGUGAUACAUGACCUACCUUCAAAGACAGAGAACACUCAUGCAGAUUCACCUUUGUUGAUCCUUGAUGCAGCAUUUUGAUCCUUUUAGUCACCUCCCUGCUGGGCAAAAGAGUCAGGAAGACUGAGAUCCCAGACAAGUGGCCACAAAAAUGGCUUUCACUUACAAAUAAUCAGGUCAGCUAUUUUGCACACAUGUACAUAUCUGUUUCUUAGCACUUUUAUUCAUCCUAUAAAACUUCAUUCAGCACUGCAAGCAGAAUUUUAAAAACAAAACAUUUAAAAUAAUCCAUGAAGCUCUAAAACGUAAGAGGAAGAUAUGAAAACACCUAGCGUAACCCAUGAGAUUCACAGUCAUAUUUCCCUGUAAUAAACUCUUACUAAUCAGUUCAGAGCUUUAUAAAACAAUAGGAGUGGAAUGACAAUGCUGUCAUUUGUAUAUUCUCCCUCAGUUCUCUAAUGGAAAGCUUUUUUUUCUCUGCCAAGUCAUUCCUGACAAUGUUAAUGAUUCACUAUAAAGCAGUUUCUGGGCUAUGAUUUGUGACAUUCAGACUGGUUAGAUGGGAGGGCUCGGCAGGUUUCUGGGGAGUGUUUUGGAUGCAGAAAUGCCUUGAAGAUAGCACUUUAUUAUAUUUAGGACAAGUAUGACAUCCCACUUCAAGGAAGAGGCCCCUAUACAUAUUGAGAAGGGAUUUCUAUGGUUUAAGUGGGGAGGAGAAGGUGGGUUUAAAAGAAUGCCUCUGUGUGUUUUUUGAGGCGACAUAAAGAUAGGAAGCAGAGAAAUGGAGGCAGGAGGCAGAAGGAUUAUGGAUAAUGGAAGAAUUUUGCCUGAGGGUAUAUGCCUGCUUUGCCUAUUCCUGUAUAACUAGAAUAUUUAUAAUUCAAAUACUUAUCUUUAAUAAUUAAAAACCAAGGAAUAUUAAAGACAAAAGGUAGAGAAUAUUAUGUACACAUGUGUAGGCAUCAUGCAUUAAAUCCCCACCCUUGCAAAAUACAGCAAGAGGGAGCUUUAAAAGGAGGUUAAAAAGUGAAUAUUUUAAAACGUCUUGAAAACAGAAUUUCUAAUUCACUCCAAUUCUGCCAGGAGUGAUACCCUUACUUCUGAUUUCUACACACACUAUCAGUCAUGGGGAUAGGCACUAAAAAUACCCAGCGUGGUGGUUUGACAUCAGCACAUCAACAAUUAAAAAGUGGAUACAAAAUAUUUCAGGUUUUCAAGACCAUAAGAUUUUUCCUCUAGAUUUCUGAAAACAUAGGAUGUGCACCGGAAAAGGAAAAGUCAUUUUUGAUUGUUUUCACAGAACAUUUAGUUGCACAGUCUAUGUAAACUACUAGUUACAAUGGAAUGUAAUACUCUACCUCCGCCAGAAACUCUCUCUGAUCUUUUGCCUCUUCUCAGACAGCAAAGAAACAAAGGAAAACAGCCCUGGCUGUGGAUGGAGAGGAGUGUUUGAAAAGAGAAAGAGACCUCAACCAUGCCCCCCGGUAUUAUAAAGCUGUCAAUUAUAACCAUGAUUACAAUGAAAAUACUGAAAUAAAAAAAUUAUUUAUUUAAGGGAGGAAAAAAGGCCAACUGCAUUUAAAAAGAAAAGAAAAGAAAAAAAAAGAACAACUGAAAAACACAUUGUUCAAUUUCAACCUUAGAGAUUCUAAAGUUAAUGAAAAAUAAUACAAACUAAUGGAGCUUGGUUGUUUCCAUUACAGUAGCAGGGAAGUGGAAUGCUUAGCAGCCAAAAUAUGAACAAAUGAAGACACUGGGUGAAAUGGUCAGGUGUCACUGUUUUUUGAAGAAUGUGGUCUCUGUGGCAACGAGUUUAUGAAUAAUAGUUUCAAUUCAUAUCUAGAUCAGAGGCGUUAAUAUUUACACCUUUGCUAAUUGUGGCAAGGAGGAGAUUAAUGAAAAAGUAAAUGUCUCUAUCUUAUUGCCUCCCCAUCACACCAAGCAAUUUCUGGUUGAACAUUAACUCAAGCUGACAAUAAUAUGCUGGGGUGAAAAAGUAAGAAGGGGUACCCACAGAUCCUUAUAUGCAUAAAAAGAAUGGUGAUAAUGGCUAAGCAUUGAUUAUAGUUACCAAUAAAACUAAAAAUGACACUUAAGACUUAUUUUGUAAAAUUGCACAUGUUUAGAGCUGAGACUCGGCCUGGCAGCUGCAGUACGUGAUAUACUGAUAUACUGAUGAUCUUAGGUGGGGGAUCUUUUUUUGUCCACCUGUAAUGCUGCCCCUCCUGGGCUAUGAAACACAAGGUAUUGUAAGGCAAGGUAUUGUAGACCAGCAGCAGCAGCAGCAGCAGCAGCAGCAAACCCAGUAUUCCCCAAAAGGCAUGUUUGUGGGGUUCCAGCUGGGAUUAACAGAGCAGGAAAAAAGGACUUGCUAAAUAUUGAAUUUGGGAAAGUGGGGAAAUUAAAAAUCUUCAAGUUUAUCAUGUCAGUUGAAAGAAAUUUUAAUUUCCCAAGAAUUAUUGCAUGUCAUCGUGCCGAAGAUGGGAAGUUUGAAAGAAAACUUCUCCAGGUACAGCCUACCCACGUCUCCGCAAGAUUUUGAAACUCGGCGGUUGUCUGUAUCAUCUGAUAGUUUUCUCGCGUUCAGUAUGUUUGUGGGCUCACGGAGAGGGGCCUCUUAUCUACUUCCACUCUUGCUGUUUGUCUUACAUCUUUAUUAGCUUUCCACAAAGUGCAAUCAUAAUUAAAUUCCAAAGCAAAGGAUGAAGUCACCCGAAUCAUCAUCCAACUAACUGCAAAUGACGGUGGCAAGAAUGACAAUGAUACUCCGCACUUCUUCAUUUCUGGUUCGGCAGCAUUUAGCUCCCUGACCUCCUGCUGUUGUCAGUGCCAUGGGCUGCUUAAAUGCUGUGCAAAAGCAUUUCUGCUUUAUUUGUUCUAAAUUUACUGGUUAUUAAUUUCACAGUGUGACCUCCUAUUCGCCUAUUAGUUGGCAGAUUUCACCAUAGCCUUCAAAAAGCUAAAGAUUUCCAUCAAGCUACUUUCUAUUUCUGUUUUGUUUUUGGUUUUUUUUUUCUGGCCAUCUUCCACAAGAUAUAAAAUUUCCUGUUUCCUUAACCAUCCUCGUGACCCUUUUCUGAGACUCAUGCUGUGUAUCCAUAGGACUUAGAAAUUUCUCAUUCUUUCCUUUUAAUAAAGAUUUGCAUUUUCUCAACCCCUUUCUCACAGAUCUCAAAAGAAACUGCUUUUUUGUUGCAAAGGUUGGAUGUUGAAUUGUUUGCAUGUCUUUGAGUAAUUUAAAGCUUUUACUUGGCAUUUUUCUCAUUCACACAGAGUAGGGGUAGGGAAUAACUUCUAUUACACGAGGAAUAGAAAGACAGUGGCAGCGUAAAUUCACGUAGCCUGAAGGUCACUAUGAUUUCCUCCAUCUUUCUCUUGGAGUCGUAAACCUCCCACUCCAGGGCCAGAUCUUAGAGCUUAGAGGGAAAACAGUCCAUUUACUGCUGAUGCUCAGAACUAAGUGAAUUUUUUGGCUAUUGUAUCAGAAAGUGUAUAUCUCACCUCAGGGUCUUAACAGUUUGCUGUAUGUGAAUGUAUGAAUCUACAAACUGGACUUGCUUUGGGUCAUUUCGGGUUCUGGAAAUUUUGUGGCAUCUGGUGUCUUUUCCAGGAGCUGCACCUACCUGACCGUCUCCAAAAAAAAAAAAAAAAAAAAA
rnacentral:lncRNA from 1 species